GGAGAGAUACCAAAGUGGCCAAAUGGGGCGGACUGUAAAUCCGUUGCGUAAGCUUCGAAGGUUCGAAUCCUUCUCUCUCCACCA
rnacentral:tRNA from 1 species